AAAGAGAAAUCAGCAUGUAUCUGGCACACCAAUGAAUACUGUGUUCUUCAGAGCUCAUGCUGAACUGUGUACAUUGAAGGGUCUCCCUAAAGGAAACUUUGAGACCCUUCUGUAGGCUGACCCUUCUUAGAUGGAGCUCGGCCUUCAUUUUGGAAUGCUCCGCCAUCUGAGUGCUUUAAAAAUUAAGGUGGCUUUGAGGAUCCUCUCACUUCACAGUGUGGGGAGCCAUGGCAAGCCUAGGCUUGACUCCCUUCCUGGAUGGAACUCGUACCUCAGAACUGUUGCCUCUGUGUUGUUCCAGUCAUGAUCCCCAAAGCAUGAUUCCUGAUUUGGAGGCCAAGAAAGUACAGCCUGUCUUAGCAUGUGAUCUUAUGUAAGGCACUGUGUGUCGAGCUGGCAGGAAACAAACAUCUCUCCAGCCCCCUGUUUUCAGAGACGGGUCGGAAAAUAUUUCAGCUGCUUGGUAUCAGCCUGCUGUGGUCAGUUAUCAGUGUGGUCCAGAAGGACAGGACAGCGCACCAUUCAUGGUCUGUCAGAGCUGCUCCUAGAUGGGCGGAUGGCGUCAUGAGUGAGAAGCAAAUUUCAUGUCCUUGCUUUUUUCCCUAGGACCAAAUCACAGUUGCUUCCUCCAUUCAAAGAUCCAUUAUGUCAUCAGUGUGGAUACACCCUCCUCCCAACCAGAGAGCAGCCCUUUCAGUACUUAGCAGAUGGUAUCAUGAGUUGCUCCUACCCACCCCUACCCCCACCUGAAAAAAACAAAAAACAAUUAAAGAGA